rnacentral:lncRNA from 1 species
AUAAAAAGCAAACUCUCAUAGUUCGGAGCCCAGCUCCAACAACUUCUUCGUAAGUGAGGUGAGGUACUUCUUUUGGUUUGAAUAGGGGGUCGCCCUUUUUUUGGUUGAAGUAGCCACGACUUUGGUCGUAGUCAGCUUAAACCCAUAAACCCAGUCCACUUGCAGCCAUGUUGAUCAAAAUGACUAAGUUUAAUGACUUGACCAGUCACUAGCCCUCGUAUUAUAAGAUUCUCUCACCCUGUGGUCGACAUUCCAUUCCCCUUAGUCGUAGGUGCUCGUUCUAUUUUGAUUUGAAUGGGCCGGGGCUCCCGAGGUACAUAUGGCCGGCCCUUCGG